GUUCAUUCUCAUUUUACCGCAGCUUUAUUAAGAAUAGCUGGUCGGAAUGGACUUUUGGUUUGAGCCAAACACUGAGCCAAAAUCAUCCAUUGCCUACAAAUAUUUCAGUCCUAAUAUUGAGUCUGAAUCAUCAGUUCUGACUGCCUCUUACCCUAGAAUGAGAUUCUGGGAAGUGAAAAAGAUGAGGAACAGAAGACUGUGCUGA
rnacentral:lncRNA from 1 species